rnacentral:misc_RNA from 1 species
CAAAGAUGGCGUUGAUGGGUGCGCACGGUUGUUAAAUUUCGUCGGAUUUUAUUUUUCAAAGAAUCUGGGCUAAUAAUUAAUUACAAAAUAGAAGAGUGUAUUUUAAACGUUUGCCCACUACCGCGAUCAAGUAAUGUGACUUUAUUACAAGUUAUAAUUCGUGUGUUUUAAUUCUAAUACAUGUUACAUCAAACUCUAUUCAAGACGUAGUGAGAGAAAAAUUACGAUUCAGUUUUUCUGUGUAUACGUGAAUGGGGAAAAAAUUUGCAACACCCUAAGAAGAUUCCUCGGAAUAAUGGAUUGAAAAAAUAAUCCUAUUAAAAUAUAAGUGCCAACCGUUUAUCUAUUAUAUAUAAGUGCUGUGUUUUGAUUUGAAAGCUUUAUGUUAUCCCAUUUAUGCAGAUAUGAGGAUUAACCAGAGUCACACAACAACGUCAAAGAUCCCGCAAAUCGAAACAAUGUAAAUACUAAAGUUAAUCAUGGGCCGAUAAUUAAAAUAACUCUUCUCAAAAAUAAAAGAUCGAUUUACAACGAAAAAAUAAAUCAGUUGUUUCAAGUACAUCGGUUUUAACUUUGUUCUAAGAAAUUUUAAAACAAAAUUAACUGCGAAGCAAAGUUCCAGCGCUAAACUUCCAAAAUCGACACAAAUUCACAAGCACAAGGCUUGACUUAUUAAACAACCUGAAACGCACCUGCUCAUCAACUCCAAUCGAAUUCGAAAGACGCCCAAAUUCAUUCCAAAUUACAUAAAUACAGUUAAAACAAAUAAAAACAAAAGCAAAUCGAUUUAUUUCGACAAUGAAGCAACGCAAAAGCGGAAAUACGAAGAACCUGAUGUGAACUAACGGUGCAAUACGUAGGCUAAUGAUUGUAAAUUAACAUUUUAAAUUUAAUAUUAACGAUAGGAAAGAUUAAAUUUCGGUUUGUCUAUAUAUACUUAAUAGCUGUGUGAGUAAAAUAAGUUAUUGAACGCAAAUAUAGUAAUUGUAUAGGGACCGAACUCGAUUAGAUUAAUUCCAAACUAAUUAGUUCGAUAAAAGCCAUAAGCAGCAAAAGAAAUCAAAAGUAAAGUGUGCAAAAAGUUGAAAAGUCUCUUAAAUGAUAUAGUUUUGUAGUACAAUUAGUAAUUGUAUUAAAAGUGAUUGAACCGGCGAGUAUUGAAAAUUUAUAAAAAUUCUGGUCUACAAAAUGUCAUUGGCCGAUAUGGGUACAGCGAGUCGAGAUGGCGGCAUAAGCGGUGGUGGUGUUGGUGUUAGCGGUGUGGAUGGUAUGGGAGUGCCGGGUGGACGCAUGACUCACUCGUUGAGCACACCAUCUGGAGUCGAUGGCACACCAUCCACACCAAGACAUCGCGGUGGCAAGAAGUUAACCGUUCGCAUACAAAUGCUAGAUGAUUCAGUGACCAUGUUCCAAGUUCAGGCAAAAGCACUUGGACGGGUUCUAUUCGACCAGGUUUGUCGUCAAUUAAAUCUACUUGAGGCCGAUUAUUUUGGUUUGGAGUAUCAGGAGAUAUCUACACACACCAAAUAUUGGCUAGACCUCGAGAAACCCCUAAAUCGACAAGUUGGUCUGUCGCUAAUCGAUCCAGUGCUGCGUUUCUGCGUUAAAUUCUACACUCCUGACCCAGCACAACUGGAAGAAGAAUACACGAGGUAUCUCUUUUGUUUGCAAAUUAAACGGGACUUGGCCAACGGUAACUUGCAGUGCAAUGACAAUACCGCAGCUCUAAUGGCCAGUUACAUAGUGCAGGCAUCAUGUGGUGAUUAUGUGCCUGAGGAUUAUCCUGAUCACACCUAUUUGUCAUCGUAUCGUUUCGUACCUCAUCAGGAUGCUACCAUGCAGCGGAAAAUCAUGGAGAAUCACAAAAAGCAUGUGGGUCAGUCUCCUGCUGAAGCCGAUUUAAAUCUGCUGGAAACGGCUAGGCGGUGUGAACUAUAUGGAAUGAAAAUGCAUGCAGCGAAGGAUGUGGAGGGUGUGCCCUUGAAUUUAGCAGUUGCUCAUAUGGGAAUUGCUGUCUUCCAAAAUAUCACGCGCAUUAAUACCUUCUCCUGGGCAAAAAUACGUAAGAUAUCAUUUAAACGUAAACGGUUCCUGGUGAAGCUUCAUCCCGAAGGAUAUGGGUAUUACAAAGACACUGUGGAAUUUUUCUUUGAGGGGCGCAAUGAGUGUAAAAACUUUUGGAAGAAAUGUGUAGAGAAUCACGGGUUCUUCCGUUGUGCUGCAGUGCAGAAUCAGCCUAGACGAAAAGCUCGGGUGUUAUCGCGUGGCAGCUCCUUCCGGUAUAGCGGCAAAACACAGAAACAGAUCAUCGAAUUUGUUCGUGAAAACUAUGUUAAACGACAAAACUUUCAAAGGUCACAGUCAUUCCGGCAAGGGCCUUUGAAUGCUAGUAGCCGAAGUCAGUCGCAUACGUAUGUGAACUCCAGCAUUUCAGCCAAUCCCCUUCUCCCAAUUGACACUGCGGACUGGGAUUAUCGCAAUCAAUGCACCGCCUCGACGACGCUUUCUCUGACGAAGAAGGCAGCGGAUACCUUGGAUCGCCGACAAGACAAUCCUACAGACCACACGCGUUCUCAAGUCACAGCAGCCCAGGUGGAGAUCUAUCAGACGAAGAAUUAUGCUCCGGAAUCGCCAACAUUGGCGGAGGAACAGCAACACCACUCGGCAGCGGCUAUGGACCAAAUGAAUUCGAACCGCUCUGUCUCUCCUCAGGGUCCGGAAUCGUGGACUUCGCUCAACCACAACAGUCAGCAACACAACAAUAUACGCGCCCAAGAUCAGGCUCGUGCGCAUCAAGGAGAUCACAAUUUAGAUUACCACGGUAUCAAUGGUAAUAUGUCACUGGAUCGGCGUGGAGAAGUGGGCACACCACAAAAUCGGUACGAUCUAACGCUCGGCUCGGACAAGUCAUCGUCAUUAUCCCGUUCAGAAGCUGGUACAUAUGAUGUAAUACAAGCCGAGAUACAGCAUGCUAAGCGACACGAACUGCCGACGGGCGUAGCCAUGUCGAACAACAAUAACGGACAGCACAAUGGCAGCUCAUUGGAUGUCGAAAGUGAUUCAAAGAAGAGAAAAUGGCCCACAGAGAAAUCAUACUUUUUGGCAAAGGAAUUGCUCAUGACGGAGAGAACAUAUAAAAAGGACUUGGAAAUAUUAAAUCGAUCAUUCCGCCAAGAACUCUCCGCACAAGAUGUGGAGAACUUGCAACCUCUAUUCGAUUUUCUCGACUCCAUGGCACAGCAUCACAACACAUUUCUACGCGACAUCGAGCAUCGCAUGGUGCUUUGGGAGGGGCGUGGAACGCAUGAUACCCAUCGCAUCGGCGAUGUGAUGAUGAAAAAUAUCGCUGUGUUGCCUGUAUACGAUGAAUAUGUACAGUCGCACAUUGAAAUCUUGCACUGCAUGAACGAGAUGUUCGAAACAGACGAGCGAUUCCAACAGAUCUACAAAGAUUUCGAACAGCAGAAAUUGUGCUAUCUGCCACUUGGUGAACUGCUACUAAAACCACUGAAUCGCAUACUACACUAUCAACUCAUCUUGGAACGGUUGUGUGAUUUCUUCACUGAAGAGCACAUCGACUAUGCUGAUUGCCAGGCGGUAUAUCACAUUCUAUUGAGAACCACCAAACAGAUUCGUGAACAAUUACCUGAGUCGGAAAAUUUCGUGCAACUCUGCGAAUUGCAGCGGGACAUAACAGGUUUCGAUAAGUUGGUACAGAACCAACGAAGAUUGAUUAGACAAGGUUGUCUACUCAAGCAUUCGAAACGAGGAUUGCAGCAGCGUAUUUUCUUCUUAUUUUCCGACAUUCUACUUUACGGCACAAAAUCGCCGAUCGAUCAGUCAUUCCGCAUUUUCGGACACGUCCCCGUGCGCUCUUUGCUUACAGAAAAUGCCGAACACAAUACAUUCUCCAUAUUUGGUGGGCAAUGUGCAAUAACAGUGAGUGCUGGCACUACUGCCGAAAAGACCCUCUGGCUGGCAGAGCUUUCCAAGGCGGCAGCAGACAUCAAAAAUAAGCCACCUACACAAUUAACCUUAACUUCGCUGAAAAAUUGCAGACGAUGUAAUUCCAUGCUCGUCGGAAGAGGGUCUCGAUCUGUGCGGUUUGACGAACGGGCUGACCGCUCAACAGCUGCAGCAGCAACAACUAAGUUUACAAAACAAAACGCCACCCUCGCGCAGCAACACGGCUCUACACGUUUGCUGGCAUCGUGGCGCAACCGUCGGCUUGGGCGAUCACCUCAUAUCCGCCGAAAACCAACUGUCCGGCUAUUUGUUACGUAAAUUCAAAAACAGUUCCGGUUGGCAAAAAUUAUGGGUGGUCUUCACCUCCUUCUGCUUGUACUUCUACAAAAGUUAUCAGGAUGAAUUCGCUUUAGCGAGCUUACCUCUAUUGGGUUAUUCUGUGGGGCCACCAGGUCAUCAGGAUGCGGUGCAGAAGGAAUUCGUUUUCAAAUUGUCCUUUAAAAAUCAUGUUUACUUUUUCCGCGCUGAAAGUAUACACACCUACAAUCGAUGGCUAGAAGUUCUACGAAGCACUACGCAAACGCAAGACUUCAAGAAUAUCAAUUCGAACCCAGCUCACUGAAAUUGAGUACGACCAUCAGCAAUAGUAUUCAGCAUUAGUAAUCCAUAGGAUUAUGAGAAUACAAAAAUAUUUAUGUCCGAAAAUGGUUGGUGUCACAUGCUCGCCAGUAAAAUAUGAAGCAUUAAAUGAUAACCAAUUGCUACAUCUACGCUUUAAAAAAGUGCCUUUAAGUAUUUUCUCUGUUUUUACGCGUAAAUACAAACAUAUUAACAUUUUACAAACUGUACGACAUUUAUUAAUAUAUAGAAUAUCCUUAAAAUGGACAUAUUUUUCUACAUUAUAUACACCAUGUAUUUAUAUACUAUUAUAUAUGUACACAAUUAUAGAUUUGAUGUAGGUCCGAAUGUCGUAAGUCUUUAUAGUAAUACGACUAAAUUUAAAUUUUUGCAUUUAUACGUUGUAAAUAUAAAGAAGAAGAAAAUCGUAUUUGCGUGACCAAUUCCAUUAUUGACGAGCAAACGUGUUUCAAUAUUUUGAUCGUCAGCUAGUAUUAUUUUAAGUACUAAAAUUGUAGCAAUUCUUCAAUACGAACCUUAAGCUGUACUUUACUAAGUUAAUCUCUGAAGACAAAAGCUAAACAACUAUUUCCACUGCUAACAUUGCUUAGUUUCAAUCACGAUACUUUCGAUUUUGAUACUUUAUUAUUAAUCCGCCUACAUAAUGUGUACAUUACUUGCGACAAUGUAACCGUUUAAAUACUUGUAUUGACUAAUAAAACAAUCUAGAUCAUGUACCAAAUAAAUGAAAAAA